AAGUCGUAACAAGGUUUCCGUAGGUGAACCUGCGGAAGGAUCAUUAUUGAAUAAACUUGCACAGGCUGUUGCUGGCCCUCAAGGGUAUGUGCACGCUUGUCAUCUUUAUCUCUCCAACUGUGCACAUAUUGUAGACCUAGAGUCCCUGUUGAUUCAUUUCGAGUUGGGACUGCUGUGCUUUGUACUUCAGAGUCAGCUUUGCCUUUUUCAUACCCAGGUCUAUGUCAUUUUCACAACCUCUUGAAUGUGUUUAGAAUGUUGAAUCAGGUCUUUUUGUACCUAUAAAGUUAAAUAUACAACUUUCAGCAACGGAUCUCUUGGCUCUCGCAUCGAUGAAGAACGCAGCGAAAUGCGAUAAGUAAUGUGAAUUGCAGAAUUCAGUGAAUCAUCGAAUCUUUGAACGCAUCUUGCGCUCCUUGGUACUCCGAGGAGCAUGCCUGUUUGAGUGUCAUUUAAAUUCUCAACCACAUCAAUUUAUUUGGUGAGGCUUGGAUGUGGGGGUCUUUUUGCGGGCUUCUGUAAAUUUGAAGUCGGCUCCCCUAAAAUGCAUUAGUGGUAUCUGAGCAGAAGAAACUACUACAGGUGUGAUAAUUAUCUACGCCUCAGUAUCCUGCACAAUCAGAUUGUGCUGCUUCUAACGAGUGGAGAUUCCUUUUGGGGGACCACAUUUGUUGAAUUUGACCUCAAAUCAGGUAGGACUACCCGCUGAACUUAA
rnacentral:rRNA from 1 species